GGAGAGAUGCCAGAGCGGUCGAAUGGGGCGGUCUCGAAAACCGUUGAUCCCUUUGGGGAUCCCAGGGUUCGAAUCCCUGUCUCUCCG
rnacentral:tRNA from 1 species